GCGAGGACGGGUGGACGCGUCAGGAGGGUCGUUGGUCCUGUCAGAGCGACCUAGGCCGUCGCCUCCGUGUAGAUCUCCACUUUUGUAACAAAAAGUUGUCGAAAGGCGGCUGUGGCGUCUUUCUACCUUCCACUGACUUUGGCUGCACCGGAUAUUCAUAGGGCGCCGGCGCACGCAGAGGGCGUUGCGCGUGGGACAUUCUGGGGGAUGCGAUAGAUGGAAUUCGGCGCGAAAAGACAUUGGUUUCCCCGGGAGCUCUUUAGUCGUCUAGGAGAUGAAGAGAAAAGAGCAAAGCUUGCAGAGGCUGCAGAGAGAAGACAAAAAGAGGCUGCAUCUCGGGGAAUUUUAGAUGUUCAAUCUGUGCAAGAAAAGAGAAAGAAAAAGGAAAAAAUAGAAAAACAAAUUGCUACAUCUGGGCCCCCACCAGAAGGUGGACUUAGGUGGACAGUUUCAUAAAGCAUAACAUGAGUAGAAGAAUCUACUGCCAAUAACUGUUUAUUAUCUGCAAUCAAGUGGACUUCAUCAAUUUAAUUUCUUCUCUUUGAAUAAAUGAAGAUUCAGACUUUGUAAUAUUAUUGCCCUUAAGUACAAUGCUAAAAAAACUUUGAUUUUCAAGCUUAGAGAAUGGCUAGACUUUUCAUUAAAUACUGAUUUUCCUACAUUUGCUCUUUUGCAGUUAGUGGGUGAUUUGCUAUUUUUCUUAGUAGUUAAAAAAUGGAACUAAAUAGUGAAUAUACAUACACUGCAUGUAAACGUUCUGCAUAUACCUCUAAGAUUAAAAUUCGCACUUUUCAUCCUUUAUAAAAUGAUCUAACUACUUAUA
rnacentral:sRNA from 1 species